AGCAGCCGCGGUAAUUCCAGCUCCAAUAGCGUAUAUUAAAGUUGUUGCAGUUAAAAAGCUCGUUGUUGAAUUUCGGGAUCAAUUAGUCGGUCGUGCCUCUGGUACGUACUGGUUUUAUUGGUUCCUCCCUUCUGACGAAACAUGAUGUCAUUAAUUUGGUGUCGUGGAGAAUCAGGACUGUUACCUUGAAAAAAUUAGAGUGUUUAUAGCAGGCUAACGCUUGAAUACAUUAGCAUGGAAUAAUGAAAUAGGACGUUCGACCCUAUUUUGUUGGUUUCUAGGAUCGACGUAAUGAUUAAUAGGGAUAGUUGGGGGCAUUAGUAUUCAAUUGUCAGAGGUGAAAUUCUUGGAUUUAUUGAAGACUGACUACUGCGAAAGCAUUUGCCAAGGAUGUUUUCAUUAAUCAAGAACGAAAGUUAGGGGAUCGAAGACGAUCAGAUACCGUCGUAGUCUUAACCAUAAACUAUGCCGACUAGGGA
rnacentral:misc_RNA from 1 species